GCUCAACCGGGGAGGGUCAUUGGAAACUGGGAAACUUGAGUGCAGAAGAGGAGAGUGGAAUUCCACGUGUAGCGGUGAAAUGCGUAGAGAUGUGGAGGAACACCAGUGGCGAAGGCGACUCUCUGGUCUGUAACUGACGCUGAGGAGCGAAAGCGUGGGGAGCGAACAGGAUUAGAUACCCUGGUAGUCCACGCCGUAAACGAUGAGUGCUAAGUGUUAGGGGGUUUCCGCCCCUUAGUGCUGCAGCUAACGCAUUAAGCACUCCGCCUGGGGAGUACGGUCGCAAGACUGAAACUCAAAGGAAUUGACGGGGGCCCGCACAAGCGGUGGAGCAUGUGGUUUAAUUCGAAGCAACGCGAAGAACCUUACCAGGUCUUGACAUCCUCUGAUAACCCUAGAGAUAGGGCUUUCCCUUCGGGGACAGAGUGACAGGUGGUGCAUGGUUGUCGUCAGCUCGUGUCGUGAGAUGUUGGGUUAAGUCCCGCAACGAGCGCAACCCUUGAUCUUAGUUGCCAGCAUUCAGUUGGGCACUCUAAGGUGACUGCCGGUGACAAACCGGAGGAAGGUGGGGAUGACGUCAAAUCAUCAUGCCCCUUAUGACCUGGGCUACACACGUGCUACAAUGGACAGAACAAAG
rnacentral:rRNA from 1 species